UACAAUAUCUUUAUUUUAUUUUUAUGUGGUACUGAGGAUGGAACCCAGUGCCUCAUGCAUGCUAGAAGAGCGCUCUACCUCUGAGCCCCAGCCCAGGAAACCUCACAAUCUUAAGCCUGUUUCAACCUUUUCUAACCACAACCUAAGGAGUUUUAACUUGCCAAAGGGGUGAGUCCUUGUUGGUUUUCAUUUUUUUAAAUAACCUGGGGGUUGUAUCUAACCCAAAUUCAUACCAAAAAUCAUCUCAGAAGUAGUUUUAGUAGCAGCAGCAACUCAGCAGACUUCACCUUGUAGAUAAUUCCUAGUCAAGGUGACUCUUAGACAAUCAUUUUAUCAGUAAUGUCUGAAAUUGUAAAAUACACACACACACACACACACACGCACGCACGCACACAGAUCAUCAAUUAGACAUAAAAUGUGGGCAAAAUCAAAUGGUUACAAUAUCAGUGUCCUAUUUGGCUUUAUUUUUCUCCUGGAAUCACCAGUGUUUUGUCUACAGUGCUGGAGAUUUAACCCAGGGCCUCACACCUGCUGCUCAAGGGCUCUACCCUGAGCUACAUCCCCAGCCCUUUUUAUGAUUUUAAGGCAGAGUCUCACUAAGUGGCUGAGGCUGGCCUGGAACUUGGGCUCCUCCUGCCUCAGCCUCCCCAGCAGCUGGGACUACAGGUGCGUGCCACCAGGCCCAGCUCUGGAAUCACCUGUUUAUGCAGGUGAUCCACACAUGUGCAGAACUCAGGAGUGGACACUUCUGAUGGAUUUCAGACAAAUCCAUCCUGAUUGCAAUUAAACAAUUUAUCUUUAAAAGAACUUUUUUCCUGACUUGAAAAGAUUUUUUUGUCUUUAUGGCCAUCUUAUCGUUGAAACCAGCUUUCACAUCCUUCCAAAUGGCACUAGACCAAAUAACACGGGUGCCAUCACCAUAUAAAGGUAAAUUUGCUGAAUUUGAGCUCUGUUUUCAUCAUUGUUUCUUAAAAACAGAAUGCACGUGAGGGGAGAACUAUUAACCCAAAGAAAAUAAAUCGAGCGAAUCAGCAGGUCCGUCAGGACGGCUGCGGGUUAGUGCUUCAUUUUUCUUGGGUUUGGGUUUUUCCCAGCGUGAUGGCAUUUCUUCUUUGUUGUGUUUUUCCCUUUCGUAAAAGAAGGGAAAAUUGGACUUGCUUCUGAUUGGAGCAUGACGAGUUUUCAGAAUGUAAUAUAAGUUCUUACAAGGUGAGCCUUAGGUCUGGGUGUCUGCGUGGGUUCAGUAAACGGUACUGGAAGAGAGUCUCUGUGGAUAAAGAAUGACUUCCACUGACCUGCUCUCCACAGGCCAUUUUAUUUGAGUGUUUUCCUCAUUUUAAUGGGGUAUCUCAAGACAUCUCUGCUGGAUCAGGGACACUCAGCAUGUGGUUGAGCUCCCAGGGCAGAGUAACACCUGUGUUUGUGGAAUGGAUGGACUCUGUGCCCUGGCUGUCGGUGAUUAACGAUGCCGUGCUGUGACCAAGAGACAGAAUCAGGAGCAGAGGGAGGUUACGUCGUAAGUUGGAGACUUAAUCUGAAAUUUAUGAUCUCAGAUACAGUGACCAAAUUCUUUUGGGGUCUGUGUAGUCACGUGCACUAUUUAAAUUGUUCUAUAUAAAGAAGAAUAGAAAAAUAAGAAAACCAAGUGGCAUUUGGAAGUUAGUCAAACGAGCCGAUUCUCUGGUCUUCAGACUAAAAUCAGUUAUCGAGUGUCCAGCACCGAGUUCCACCCAGAAGUAAAAUCGUUUGAGAAAAGUGAUUUGUUGAAGGGGCAACUCAAGGGAGAAUGUUCCUGUUACAGUGAAAUGAAAUGUGUUUUUUAACAGCCUGAAACAUCAAAAGGUUUCAAUAAAUGAAUGUUUGAUUGAAUCUAUUGUACUUUUCUAGCCAAAAGCUCAAUAGAUUUAGUCAGCUUCAAGGCUACAUUAAAUAUUGGAGAAUCACGGACGUUGAAAGGUAGAAGAAAUCCUGGUCAAGGAUAUCCAGUGGGCUCAUGAUCAUGGCUUGUUUUAGCACUCCUUUUUCACUUGCACACUGAGAACUAUGAAACCUCAAUAUGAUCUCCUUGGUGUCUGUAGGGAAUGGGUUCCCGGAUCCCCAUGGAUCCCAAACUCUGUGGGUGUUCUUACCUGAAAGGCAGAGCCUGCGCACAUCCUCCUGAGUACUUAAAGUCACCUCCAGAUUCCUGAUGAUGACUUAUCAAUGCAAGGCUGUAAAACCCCAGAUGGAGGCAUGGCACACGCCUGUCAUCCCAGCUACUUGGGAGGCUAAGGCAAGAGGAUUACAAGUUCAAGGUCAGCUUGGACAACUCAGGGAGACCUUGUCUCAAUGUAAAAAGGGUGAGGAGGUAGCUCCGUGGAGGAGAGUCGGUACAACUUCCUGGGUUCCGUCCCCAGUACUGAAAAAAAAAAAAAAAAGGUGGGAGGACUUGUCUUUGCCCUGCAUGAGGUGGCUCCGGGUCUUCGGACAUGUGCCCAUCGUUUUUUGGGUACUUCUUUACUCUUUAGCGAUAUUCAGGAUCACGUUGUGCCUUCUCUGCCCCCGCCCGGGGAUCCGCCGUUUCACUGACGACUUUCUGCGAAGUGUUUAGAAAUCAACGUGCGGAGGCAGCUGUGUUGCUUCUCUUGGACGGUCACUGUUCCUGGCCUCUCGCUGGACACAGCUAGGAAAUGUAGAGGCACAGACAUAUUUACAGGUGCCCUGUGGAACCUUCUCCUCCCAACUCCAGGAAAUGCUAAGGGAUACGUUUCCAUUCUUCUCCCUUUUCAAAUUUAUGGCACUUCUCUCUGAGAGAAGAAAUUUGCUUCCGUGACCUCGUA